ensembl:lncRNA
GCCUUGGCAGGAACUAGUAGGGAUCCGUAAUAAACCCCAGGAAGAGUAGCUGCCGCCUUGGCAGGAACUAGUAGGGAUCCGUAAUAAACCCCCAGGAAGAGUAGCGUCACAAACAUUUCACAUAUUUUGCCAAAUGUUAUGUUAUUUAAAAAAUAUAUUUUAAGUAUUCGGGUGUCUCAGGACAUCUUACGAUCACGUUGCAUUGAAUUUCAGAAACACACCUUUUUAACAAUAUACGAGACCUUUCGGAUGAGCAGAUUUCCUGCUUUCACAGGCUGGUGAGAUCAGCCAUUUUCCAGGUGUCAUUUUUGAUGUCUUAAUUACAAACUUCGGCCACCAGGUGGUGCCACAAGUGUUCAUUAGGUGAUCUCUUCUUGAAGACAGCGUCUUCCUUUUUCCUCAUUGUUUGUGUAAGGACACUUUACCAGGUGUUUAAAGACAUUGUGACGUCAGACCUCAGGCUUUAAAGGGAUAGUACACCUCAUAGUUCUAGUUGUGGGGGAUUUUCCAGAGACAGGUCCUAGGUCUAGAUUCAUCUCAUAGUUCUAGUUGUGGGAGAUUUUCCAGAGACAGGUCCUAGGUCUAGAUUCAUCUCAUAGUUCUAGUUGUGGGAGAUUUUCCAGAGACAGGUCCUAGGUCUAGAUUCAAUUCGUAUCACGUAAUAUCCGUGCUAUAGCGCGAUUAAAAUUUAAAAAACAAUCACUCUAUGAAUCAAUCACUCUAUAAAUCAAUCACUCUAUAAAUCAAUCACUCUAUGAAUCAAUCACUCUAUGAAUCAAAUACUCUAUGAAUCAAUCACUCUAUGAAUCAAUCACUCUAUGAAUCAAUCACUCUAUAAAUCAAUCACUCUAUACCACAGAUCUCCUGAGAUAGGGAUUGAAUCCCCGAGUUACAUUUUGGAUUUAAGUAAUUGAUCAUUUGACCAGUUUAUUUUAAUAUUGUUAAAAUCUCUGACAUGAAUAAAUAAUCCCCGUCAUGGUACAAUUGGACAUAAAAGCGGGAAGGAUGUUGGAUUAGAUUCUGCAUCAGCUUGUGUUUGAUUUGUGGUGACAUAUUGUAGGUGUGUGUGUGUGUGUGUG